AGGUGCGCUUGUUCGCUGAGGCUCCUUCGCGGAAACAGGCCAGCGACCCCGAACGUCGAGAGACGCCAAGGGUCAGGACAGAUUCAUUCGGAUCAAGGGUGAGUCCCGAUUGGCUCCCGUCGUCGUACGGGUGACGCCGCGAAGUGCCAAAGGUCUGACGAGGAGACGUAGGA
rnacentral:sRNA from 2 species